UUCAGAUUUCACACACCCACGAAAUAUUCCUCAACCUCCCUCUACCCUCAACCGACUCACCCUCCCUCUAGCCAUUCUUCGAUCAUCAUAUUUCCAUAUUAAUCUCAAAAUAUUUUCUGCAAAACGAUCUCCUCAACUCAAUUCUCUCUCAUCACUUUCAAGUAUAAAUGGGAAAUCUAGAGUAGCACAUAAUUCUCACUCUUCACCGCUAAUUUCAUCUUUAAUUACAAGCUUCUUCGGAUUUUACGGUUUGAUUUUCUAAUUGCAGUAUUGAAGAUUCAUUCAAAACCCAUUCGCAACACCAUCAACAGAGCCAUCAGCGCUAAUUUCACCUGUUCUAUUGCACUUGCUGAAGUUAUACUAGUCUUAUACAUUGCGUAUUUUAUGUCCCGUGAUCUUUUCAUAUCAAAGAAGGCAGACUGCAAGGGGUUGAUCAAUGCCUAAUCCACGAGUUUAGGAUGGUUAGCCAUGUUCUGCAAGGAGAAGUCAACAAAGAUUUCUUCGAGGGUUGCUGGACAAUCUAAAGACAAAUCCCAAGUGGAGUUGGCAUGGGAAACAUUAUAGAGCCAGUCUCUGUUGUGCAUCUAAAUGGUGAAUUAAUGGAAGCGAAGGCAUCAGUAGUUGAUGCAGAGGCUGAAAUUCUUUUGGAUAUAACAAAAAAGAUUGAGGUAUAGCUGGGUUAAAUUGUAUAUUGGUCAUCACCGUCAACCUUGUUUGGAUUGAGCUGGGAAUCGAACUCUAAUUUCCUUGGGAAUUUCGGAGAAGAAAACUUGGAACAUAUUUUGGCCAGCAAGAAGUCACACAAGUAGAUAUUGAAGUACUACAAGAGAAGUUAAGUCUUCAUUAUUAGGUUACUCAACUGGAAGAGGCUCGCCCAGUUCCAGCUGAUAUAAUGACUUCUAAGCAUACACGAGUUCCUCUUAUAACUAGGCCUAAUACAGGCGGUAAAACCAUUUGCUUGAAAGCAGUUGGAUUGGCUGCCCUGAUGGCUAAAGCAGGUCUGUAUGUUUUAUGUGCUGAACCAGUACGGAUCCCAUUGUUUGAUUCUGUUUUUGCGAUACUGGUGACGAACAUUCUUUGUCUCAAUCUUUAUUAACCUUCUCUGGACAUCUGAGACAAAAUAGUAUUGGUACUGGCACUAUAAUCCUUUAGAGAGAGCAGAACUUGGCAUGUCUAUUCUUGAGUCAUUUGCUGAAGCUAAUGCUUUACUAACCAUAGCCACAACACAUCAAGGUGAACUUAAAACCUUCAAGUACAGGUAUAUGACUGAAAAAGACUACCUAUAAUUUCUAAGAAUAAAUAAUUAGAGUCAAAGACUUUCUUGCUUGUAGCUGAUGUUAUUUAUGAUUCAUGUGUUCAUCUAUAUACUACAACACCUUUCUCCUGAUGAAUAAUGCUUGGAAGGUUGUUAGCCCCUCAGAAUUAAUCUUCUUUUAUAAAUCUCCUCUUUGCAGCAAUGACGCGUUUGAGAAUGCGUGUACGGAAUUUGAUGAAGUUAACUUAAAGCCAACUUACAAGAUUCUUUGGGGAGUUCCAGGUUUUCAGUUUCUAAAUGUGUUUAUUUGGGGAAUAUAAAGAGCAGUGCACACAAAUAAAAAAGCAAGAGUUCAUAUCAAACUUACUCUUCAUACUAAACAGCGAUGCUAAAACAUACCAACCAAUGCUAAGAACGAGGGAUAAUUUGCCAACUAAUCUGGCAUACUAACUUGACUAAAAGUACAGAAUACAAACUAAUAGCUGGAAAUAAGGAAGAAUACCCCAUAGAAACACUAAUUUCUCCACUAACUUACUGCCCCUAAUAACCAGAAACUACCAUCUAUUUGACUAACAAUUAACUAACCAAUACUUUGAACUUUGAAGUGAUCUCUACAACAAAAGAUCCUGAUAUUUGGGAUGAAUACCAAAUUGUUUGUGCACCGUUGUUGAAGACAAUGAAUCCCUUGAUUCGUUGCCUUCAGGGAUUUUACUUCACAUUAUAUUUUCUAAGGCUUUGUGACUGGCUAUUUUUAUCCGUGCUGAGUUAUUUAAUAUUGUGCACCGUGGAAAAUUUAGUGAAUUCAGUCUAUCUUGUUGCCUUUAGGGAUUUUACUUUACUUAGGUCAAGGUUUUGUGGCUGCCUAGUUUGUUCAUACACACUUCCAACAAUUAUAGCACUACAUAGCCUUUGAUUCGUAAGAUAUAGUUAAUGGACCUAGAGGUCCAUCUAUGAUUAUGGUUAAUGGACCUAGAAGUAAUUCUCUAUGAUCAAUACAUCAAUAUUAUUAUGAAAGUUAGAGAGAGGUCCAUCUAGAUCCCAUGCAUAUUCCCCAUAACCCGUACCAAUGUCCUUCAAGACUCAAGGGUCCCCCAUUAUUGCCCCAAGCCCCCCCGGCCCCCUGAAGUGCAACGAGCUCACGAGCUGUAUUAUGUGAGAUUUUUAUACAUGGUGUCAGAUCACCGUUUAUGGCUUUCCUUACUGAUGUUCUUAUCCAAAUUUUCAUCUCAUAUAUCAAUCUCACUCUAACACCCCUAUAACAUUCUCCAUCUCCUCUACCCAUGGCAUUAUUUUACUUUUAUUUUUUUCUUUUCAUUUGUUGACAUGUGUUCUUUUAAUGCCCUUAUUUCUUGAAUUUCCUUAUUUUCUAAAAUUCAUCAUUUGUUUGGAUCAAAUUCAAUUAAAGUAGGUACCAUGUGAUUUAUCUUUAAGUUUCGGGUUACCUUCAUUGGCUUUUAAAAGCAAGAUCUAUUGAAACUCUGGUUACCCCUCUUGUUAUUAUGAUCUAUUGAAACUCUGGUUUCCCCUCUUGUUAUUAGUGUCGAGCAGUGCUUGUGCAUUAAUUGAUUUUCUCUAUAGUCUUUGCAUUCCCUUGGUUUAACAGAUAAGUCUACGCUUGAACCGGCUAAAAGCUGUGUGUAUUAAUUAAUUUGUUUUUUUUAUAAUCC